UACAGAGGUCCCAAGCGUUGUUCGGAUUCACUGGCGUAAAGGGUGCGUAGGUGGCCGGGUAAGUUUGAUGUGAAAGCUCGGAGCUUAAACUCCGGAAAUGGCCAUUGAAUACUAUCCGGCGUGGAGGGUCGGAGGGGAGACUGGAAUUCGUCGGUGUAGCAGUGAAAUGCGUAGAUAUCGAGAGGAACACCAGUGGCGAAGGCGAGUCUCGUGGACGACUCCUGACGACUGAAGGCACGGAAAGCUAAGGGGAGCAAACCAGG
rnacentral:rRNA from 1 species